UGGGGAAUUUUGGACAAUGGGGGCAACCCUGAUCCAGCAAUGCCGCGUGUGUGAAGAAGGCCUUCGGGUUGUAAAGCACUUUUGUCCGGAAAGAAAUCCUUGGCUCUAAUACAGUCGGGGGAUGACGGUACCGGAAGAAUAAGCACCGGCUAACUACGUGCCAGCAGCCGCGGUAAUACGUAGGGUGCAAGCGUUAAUCGGAAUUACUGGGCGUAAAGCGUGCGCAGGCGGUUUGCUAAGACCGAUGUGAAAUCCCCGGGCUCAACCUGGGAACUGCAUUGGUGACUGGCAGGCUAGAGUAUGGCAGAGGGGGGUAGAAUUCCACGUGUAGCAGUGAAAUGCGUAGAGAUGUGGAGGAAUACCGAUGGCGAAGGCAGCCCCCUGGGCCAAAUACUGACGCUCAUGCACGAAAGCGUGGGGAGCAAACAGGAUUAGAUACCCUGGGUAGUCCACGCCCUAAACGAUGUCAACUAGUUGUUGGGGAUUCAUUUCCUUAGUAACGUAGCUAACGCGUGAAGUUGACCGCCUGGGGAGUACGGUCGCAAGAUUAAAACUUAAAUGAAUUGACGGGG
rnacentral:rRNA from 1 species